GAGGUUGUGGCUCAAAGGUAGAGUGCUUGCCUAGCAUGUGUGAGGCACUGGGUUCGAUCCUCAGCACCACA
rnacentral:tRNA from 1 species